rnacentral:rRNA from 1 species
GACGAACGCUGGCGGCGUGCUUAACACAUGCAAGUCGAACGGAAAGGCCCUGCUUGCAGGGUACUCGAGUGGCGAACGGGUGAGUAACACGUGGGUGAUCUGCCCUGCACUUCGGGAUAAGCUUGGGAAACUGGGUCUAAUACCGGAUAGGAGCCAUCUUUAGUGUGGUGGUUGGAAAGUUUUUUCGGUGUAGGAUGAGCUCGCGGCCUAUCAGCUUGUUGGUGGGGUAAUGGCCUACCAAGGCGGCGACGGGUAGCCGGCCUGAGAGGGUGUACGGCCACAUUGGGACUGAGAUACGGCCCAGACUCCUACGGGGGGCAGCAGUGGGGAAUAUUGCACAAUGGGCGCAAGCCUGAUGCAGCGACGCCGCGUGGGGGAUGAAGGCCUUCGGGUUGUAAACUCCUUUCGCUAGGGACGAAGCUUUUUUGUGACGGUACCUAGAUAAGAAGCACCGGCUAACUACGUG